rnacentral:misc_RNA from 1 species
CGGACUCUUCUCUUCGCUUCCACACCACCACCACUGUCGCAGUCAUCUUCACCUUGCUUCUGCCAUGUCGGGCAAAGACUGCGGCAGCCACGGGCACAAGCGCCGUAAACUCUUCCGCCAGAUUUUCGCCUGCAUCCUUAUCCUCCUGUUCCUUGUUCUCGUCACUAUCCUCUUAAUCUGGGCCAUCCUCCGCCCCAGCAAGCCUAGUUUCGUCCUCCAAGACGUCACCGUUUACGCCUUCAAUGUCUCCGUCCCUAACUACCUCACCUCCAACUUCCAAAUCACUUUCUCCUCCCGCAACCCAAAUGACAAAAUAGGCAUCUACUACGACAGGCUUGACGUCUACGCGACGUACCAUAGCCAGCAGAUCACUCUCCGUACAGCAAUCCCGCCCAAUUACCAAGGCCACAAGGAAAUCAACGUCUGGUCACC